rnacentral:rRNA from 1 species
AGCGAACGCUGGCGGCGUGCCUAACACAUGCAAGUCGAACGCGAAAGGGGGGGCAACCCCCCGAGUAGAGUGGCGCACGGGUGAGUAACGCGUGGGUAAUCUGCCCUCGAAUGGGGAAUAACCUCGCGAAAGCGGGGCUAAUACCGCAUAACAUCUUCCUCUCCUCGGAGAGUAAGAUCAAAGGUAGCCUCUGCUUGCAAGCUAUCACUUAGAGAUGGGCCUGCGCACCAUUAGCUAGUUGGUAGGGUAACGGCCUACCAAGGCAAAGAUGGUUAGCUGGUCUGAGAGGAUGAUCAGCCACACUGGAACUGAGACACGGUCCAGACUCCUACGGGAGGCAGCAGUGGGGAAUAUUGCGCAAUGGGCGAAAGCUUGACGCAGCAACGCCGCGUGAGUGAUGAAGGCCUUCGGGUCGUAAAGCUCUGUCGGGAGGAACGAAUGCUCCCAAGGUUAACAGCCUCGGGAGGUGACGGUACCUUCAAAGGAAGCACCGGCUAACUCUGUGCCAGCCGCCGCAGUAAUAC